rnacentral:misc_RNA from 1 species
GAUGAAGAACGCAGCGAAAUGCGAUAAGUAAUGUGAAUUACAGAAUUCAGUGAAUCAUCGAAUCUUUGAACGCACAUUGCGCCCCCUGGAAUUCCGGGGGGCAUGCCUGUUCGAGCGUCUCAGGAACGAACCCUCGCGCGGGUGUACGCGCGGUCGUGGCUGCGGUGGCGUGCCCGAGGCGGCGGCCACCGCGCUGGAAUCCAUGGGCGGACGCCUGCCGCGUGGCCGAGCGUGAUAUGACGCAUUGGCGCUCGCACGCGGAGAGGCUGCCAGCCCUGGCCCGUCUGUCGGGCGGGGGAGAGCAAGACACGUGAACUCCUCGAAUCAGGUAGGGAUACCCGCUGAACUUAAGCAUAUCAAUAAGCGGAGGA